AUGUGGCGACGGGUGAGUAACCGUGGGCAAUCUGCCCUGCACUCUGGGACAAGCCCUGGAAACGGGGUCUAAUACCGGAUGACACUACGGGCCUCAUGGCCUGUGGUUGAAAGCUCCGGCGGUGCAGGAUGAGCCCGCGGCCUAUCAGCUUGUUGGUGAGGUAAUGGCUCACCAAGGCGACGACGGGUAGCCGGCCUGAGAGGGCGACCGGCCACACUGGGACUGAGACACGGCCCAGACUCCUACGGGAGGCAGCAGUGGGGAAUAUUGCACAAUGGGCGAAAGCCUGAUGCAGCGACGCCGCGUGAGGGAUGACGGCCUUCGGGUUGUAAACCUCUUUCAGCAGGGAAGAAGCGCAAGUGACGGUACCUGCAGAAGAAGCGCCGGCUAACUACGUGCCAGCAGCCGCGGGUAAUACG
rnacentral:rRNA from 1 species